UCUUGGGUCGUAAACCUCUUUUCUCAGGGAAGAACACAAUGACGGUACCUGAGGAAUAAGCAUCGGCUAACUCCGUGCCAGCAGCCGCGGUAAUACGGAGGAUGCAAGCGUUAUCCGGAAUGAUUGGGCGUAAAGCGUCCGCAGGUGGCAAUGUAAGUCUGCUGUUAAAGAGUCUAGCUCAACUAGAUAAAAGCAGUGGAAACUACAUAGCUAGAGUACGUUCGGGGCAGAGGGAAUUCCUGGUGUAGCGGUGAAAUGCGUAGAGAUCAGGAAGAACACCGGUGGCGAAGGCGCUCUGCUAGGCCGUAACUGACACUGAGGGACGAAAGCUAGGGGAGCGAAUGGGAUUAGAUACCCCAGUAGUCCUAGCCGUAAACGAUGGAUACUAGGCGUGGCUUGUAUCGACCCGAGCCGUGCCGUAGCUAACGCGUUAAGUAUCCCGCCUGGGGAGUACGCCGGCAACGGUGAAACUCAAAGGAAUUGACGGGGGCCCGCACAAGCGGUGGAGUAUGUGGUUUAAUUCGAUGCAACGCGAAGAACCUUACCAAGGCUUGACAUGUCGCGAAUCUUCUUGAAAGGGAAGAGUGCCUUCGGGAGCGCGAACACAGGUGGUGCAUGGCUGUCGUCAGCUCGUGUCGUGAGAUGUUGGGUUAAGUCCCGCAACGAGCGCAACCCUCGUUUUUAGUUGCCAGCAUUAAGUUGGGCACUCUAGAGAGACUGCCGGUGACAAACCGGAGGAAGGUGGGGAUGACGUCAAGUCAGCAUGCCCCUUACGCCUUGGGCUACACACGUACUACAAUGCUCCGGACAGAGGGCAGCAAGCAUGCGAAUGCAAGCAAAUCCCGUAAACCGGAGCUCAGUUCAGAUCGCA
rnacentral:rRNA from 1 species